rnacentral:rRNA from 1 species
GUCCAGACUCCUACGGGAGGCAGCAGUGGGGGAUAUUGCACAAUGGGGGAACCCUGAUGCAGCGACGCCGCGUGGGUGAAGGAGUAUUUCGGUAUGUAAAGCCCUAUCGGCAGGGAAGAAGCAAGACGGUACCUGACUAAGAAGCCCCGGCUAACUACGUGCCAGCAGCCGCGGUAAUACGUAGGGGGCGAGCGUUAUCCGGAUUCACUGGGUGUAAAGGGAGCGUAGACGGCCAAGCAAGCCAGGGGUGAAAGCCCGGGGCCCAACCCCGGGACUGCCCUUGGAACUGCUUGGCUGGAGUGCGGGAGGGGCAGGCGGAAUUCCUGGUGUAGCGGUGAAAUGCGUAGAUAUCAGGAGGAACACCGGUGGCGAAGGCGGCCUGCUGGACUGCGACUGACGUUGAGGCCCGAAAGCGUGGGGAGCAAACAGGAUUAGAUACCCGCGUACU